rnacentral:lncRNA from 1 species
GCGCGUAUUUUAAAUAUUAUCUCCCUAAACUCGGGUGCACAUUUAUGUGACCCAAAUCCAAAUCUCGUCGGGGUCAAAAUGUGUUGACGACUACGUGUGCACUGGUUGUGACGUGGCUCAAGAUGCGUUUUCACGACGUUGUAAUUCUCUGUAAAUAAUAAUAAAAGCGGUUCAAAGUUAAAAUGCACAUAAGUUCACAAUUGUAUAAAAUCAGAUUAAGCCGAAUAUGACAAUUGAGCGACCGUGAUAGAACCACGAAAUUCGAAAAUGCCUAACACCUUCUCCCGGGUUAACAGAAUUCCUUAUCUGGAUUUGUGGUUCGUGGACUGUAAUACAGAGUCAUUCUUUUCCUCGAUUCGUGAUUAGAUCGGUGACUUGGGACACCCUAAAUCUCCCAAGUGGCGACUCUGAAAAUAAUAAAUAAAUCCCGUUCUGAAUAUCCUUUAAUUGGAAAAACUCAUUUACCCUCGCGGGGGUGUAAAAAGGAAAAAGUUGAAUCCUAAAAUUUUCUCUCACAAACACGUUCAUGCCUUUCUCUCUCUAAAAAUCAGCUAUCAGCAGGGACUGGAUUUUCUUGAUUCAAGCCCGAUUUUCCUCUUUUUAGUUUUUACACAGACUAUUUCUCUUUCAUCCUCUUCUCCGCUCAAUCUCUCCUUUGUAUUCUUUCAUUGAAUUUCCAGUCAUUGUUUCAUGCAUUUAUUUUAUCUUUUUGUGGUAAGUGAUGUCAUGAAUACACAGAGCUAAGCACGACAUAGAUUUAUGAGAUGAUUAAUACUAAAAGAUUCCCAAAAUCCAUUCUCUAGAAU